UCCGGUUUGUCACCGGCAGUCUGGCGUGAGUCCCCAACUUAAUGCUGGCAACUAAAGGCAGGGGUUGCGCUCGUUGCGGCACUUAAGCCAACACCUCACGGCACGAGCUGACGACAGCCAUGCAGCACCUGUGCUAGCCCCUUACGGACACGGGCUUUCACCCGCUUUAACUAGCAUGUCAAGCCUAGGUAAGGUUCUUCGCGUUGCAUCGAAUUAAGCCACAUGCUCCACCGCUUGUGCAGGCCCCCGUCAAUUCCUUUGAGUUUCAGUCUUGCGACCGUACUCCCCAGGCGGCGAACUUAACGCGUUAGCUUCGAUACUGGGUGCCAAGUUGCACCCAACAUCCAGUUCGCAUCGUUUAGGGCGUGGACUAC
rnacentral:misc_RNA from 1 species